UACGUAGGGGGCAAGCGUUGUCCGGAUUUAUUGGGCGUAAAGAGCGUGUAGGCGGCCACGCAGGUCCGUUGUGAAAACUGGAGGCUCAACCUCCAGACGUCGACGGAAACCGUAUGGCUAGAGUCCGGAAGAGGAGAGUGGAAUUCCUGGUGUAGCGGUGAAAAUGCGCAGAUAUCAGGAAGAACACCAAUUGCGAAGGCAGCUCUCUGGGACGGUACUGACGCUGGAGAGCGAAAGCGUGGGGAGCGAACAGG
rnacentral:rRNA from 1 species